UGGGGAAUAUUGGACAAUGGGGGGAACCCUGAUCCCGCCAUGCCGCGUGUGUGAAGAAGGCCUUAUGGUUGUAAAGCACUUUAAGCGAGGAGGAGGGUACUGGUAUUAAUACUACCAGCUACUGGACGUUACUCGCAGAAUAAGCACCGGCUAACUCUGUGCCAGCAGCCGCGGUAAUACAGAGGGUGCGAGCGUUAAUCGGAUUUACUGGGCGUAAAGCGUGCGUAGGCGGCUAAUUGAGUCGGAUGUGAAAUCCCCGAGCUUAACUUGGGAAUUGCAUUCGAUACUGGUUAGCUAGAGUGUGGGAGAGGAUGGUAGAAUUCCAGGUGUAGCGGUGAAAUGCGUAGAGAUCUGGAGGAAUACCGAUGGCGAAGGCAGCCAUCUGGCCUAACACUGACGCUGAGGUACGAAAGCAUGGGGAGCAAACAGG
rnacentral:rRNA from 1 species